GCCGGAAUAGCUCAGUCGGUAGAGCAACUGAUUCGUAAUCAGUAGGUCGGAGGUUCGACUCCUCUUUCCGGCACCA
rnacentral:tRNA from 2 species